rnacentral:rRNA from 1 species
AGUGAACGCUGGCGGUAGGCCUAACACAUGCAAGUCGAACGGCAGCACAGUAAGAGCUUGCUCUUACGGGUGGCGAGUGGCGGAUGGCUGAGGAAUACAUCGGAAUCUACUUUUUCGUGGGGGAUAACGUAGGGAAACUAACGCUAAUACCGCAUACGACCUACGGGUGAAAGCAGGGGACCUUCGGACCUUGCGCGAUUGAAUGAGCCGAUGUCGGAUUAGCUAGUUGGCGGGGUAAAGGCCCACCAAGGCGACGAUCCGUAGCUGGUCUGAGAGGAUGAUCAGCCACACUGGAACUGAGACACGGUCCAGACUCCUACGAGAGGCAGCAGUGGGGAAUGUUGGACAAUGGGCGCAAGCCUGAUCCAGCCAUACCGCGUGGGUGAAGAAGGACUUCGGGUUGUAAAGCCCCUUUGUUGGGAGAGAAAAGCAGCAGGUUAAAACCCCGCUGUUCUGACGGUACCCAAAGAAUAAGCACCGGCUAACUUCGUG